UGGGGAAUAUUGGACAAUGGGCGAAAGCCUGAUCCAGCCAUGCCGCGUGUGUGAAGAAGGUCUUCGGAUUGUAAAGCACUUUAAGUUGGGAGGAAGGGUUGUAGAUUAAUACUCUGCAAUUUUGACGUUACCGACAGAAUAAGCACCGGCUAACUCUGUGCCAGCAGCCGCGGUAAUACAGAGGGUGCAAGCGUUAAUCGGAAUUACUGGGCGUAAAGCGCGCGUAGGUGGUUUGUUAAGUUGGAUGUGAAAUCCCCGGGCUCAACCUGGGAACUGCAUCCAAAACUGGCAAGCUAGAGUAUGGUAGAGGGUGGUGGAAUUUCCUGUGUAGCGGUGAAAUGCGUAGAUAUAGGAAGGAACACCAGUGGCGAAGGCGACCACCUGGACUGAUACUGACACUGAGGUGCGAAAGCGUGGGGAGCAAACAGGAUUAGAUACCCAUGUAGUCCCUGAGCGGGCUGGCAAGGCGCAU
rnacentral:rRNA from 1 species